rnacentral:sRNA from 1 species
UAAUGCUUUGAUGUAGGCCUCGAUCGGU